rnacentral:miRNA from 12 species
AGAGUUGGGUCUGGACAUCCCGA